CGCGUAGGUGGUAGUGCAAGUCUGGGGUGGAAUCCCAGGGCUUAACCCUGGAACUGCCCUGGAAACUGUAUUACUUGAGUCAGUGAGGGGAGGGUAGAAUUCCCGGUGUAGCGGUGAAAUGCGUAGAUAUCGGGAGGGAGGCCUGUGGCGAAGGCGGCCCUCUGGCGCUGAACUGACACUGAGGCGCGAAAGCGUGGGUAGCAAACAGGAUUAGAUACCCUGGUAGUCCACGCCCUAAACGGUGGGUACUAGGUGUAGGGCUCGUAAGGGUUCUGUGCCGAAGCGAAAGCAUUAAGUACCCCGCCUGGGGAGUACGGCCGCAAGGUUGAA
rnacentral:rRNA from 1 species